AUUCAUGAUUGAAAUUAUGAAUAACAUAAAUUCUUCACUGUACCUUAGGAUUGCCGUUUUGAUGGGGUUGGAGAAAUUCUGUGUAAUUGAAGAACUGGAUAAUGGGAAAAAAGUGAUGGUGCAGAGAUUAAGUGCCAAUGCUACUCAUAUGUUGGAUGGAUGGUCCACAAGGCCUGUGAUUGACUUCCAGAACAUACCUGCUUCUGAGUGUAUUUCUCAGAAGAUGAAAUUUCAGAGAGCUUCUUUUUCUCUGGAGGACUGUGUGACUGUUAAAGACAUCUCAGGCUACUCAAAAAUCAUUAUAUUCAUGUAUGAAUUAUCAAACAAUAAACUUUCAAAAAGAAAAACCUAAACCCCUUAACUAGAAUUUUCCACAGUUUUGACGUAUGAAAAAAGUGUGUGGUGACAAUUUAAAAAUAGAUAGAAUGUGUGCUGUGCUGUAAUCUCAGAAGAUACAAUGGAUUUCCAGGCUGUGGAUGCUGCUUCAGUGGCCAUAGGAAAAGAUUGUCUAGAAUAGUCAGGGGCCUCCACCUCAAAAUGCUGGCUGUAUCACCCUUAUCAAUACUGCAGAGGACCUUGAGAGGAUAUUGAAGACAAAAAUCCAAGUUUGUUAAUGCCCAAUUUUUACCCAAAUAGUAGGUCAGCUAGGACACCAGAACAGAGGCUAUUAUUCUUUUGAUCAACAUUGGUACAUCAGAGUUGGAGAAGCUCCUUGCCAUUUAUGGGCUUUCAUUAUACACUAAGCCUGGUGUCCACUUGAUCUUGGACUUUCUAUACUACGGAACUAUGAGAAUGCUCUCUUGCUUAUAGAUUACUCUGACUCAGAUACUUGUUACAUCAGCAUGAUGGGAUGAGAGGGGAAGGGAAGACGCUGCAUUUGGCUUUAGAGGAUGAUACUGAGUUUGAAAUGAUGAUGGACCAUUUCAGAGAAAGUGUCCACCUUACAACUGGAGAGUAUAGUAAGCAAGCAAAAGAAAAAUGGAGAGAUGGUAAAAAGUAUUGGAGGCUGUACAGAAUAGGCUUGGAGACACUCAUGUGAAGGCAUCAAUCAAGUCACUUUAAUGGACUGUCACAUUAACUUCUCUGAGACAGGAAAACAAGACACCAAAAGGAGCAGUGAGUGGAGGACCAUCUUAGGGAUGACUUACAUGCUUCUAUCCGUGGCUGGGGUCUGGACUUGAUCUUGCUGCUUGACUUCUUGUUCCCAUAUGUCUGAGUUGAGUGCUCUGUCUGGCUGCUCAUUGGGCUCUGUCUUCCCCACCCUCACCUUCUGAUGUGAUGCAGUUCUUCAGCUCACAUCCCAAAGCACCCACAAGCAGGUGGACUGCAGCUGGUGCCUUCCAGCCUUUUCUUCCUAUUAGACAGGCCCUAUUACAGAGUUACAUCAAUAAGAAUAUGAUACUCUGUUCCCAUUUAGAUAAGGACCCUAGGCCGAGC
rnacentral:lncRNA from 1 species